AUGCUCGGCUUCCUGCACGACUGGCCGAAAACCCGCGCCGAGUUCUUCCCCACCACGGAUUUCUGCGCGCGCGGUCCCGACCACAGGCACCAAUAUUCCGUGAAAGAUUGUCGCCACGGCCGCGUCCUCCUUUCGUACAAGGAUGACAAUCAGCCGACCUUCGUCGUCUGGGACCCCAUCACGGGCGGCCAAACGGUACUGUGCCGCCCCGAAAUGUCGGGGGCGAGCAGAUGGCAGGCCUCGUUGCUCUGUGCCGCGGACAGCUGCAUCCACGGUGACUGCCAUUCGGGUCCCUUCGUCGUGGUUUUUGUCACCCUUGACGAACAAGAGGGGGUCGCCACGGCGUCCGCGUACUCGUCCGAGACGAGUACUUGGUGCUCUCCGGCCUUAACUGCCGUUGCUCCUUUUGAGGAAGAAAUCGACUUCUAUGACUCGCCUAGUGUUCUGGUUGGAGACGCGCUCUAUUUCCUCGUUUUCCGGGAGCAGGAUGACGAGGUUAUUGAAGAUAGUAUUCUCAAGUACGAUCUGGGCAAGUCUUGCCUGUCGGAGAUUCUUCUGCCGGAAGAAGAGGUCGAGCGUGCCAGCAACAAUCCUAUCCUCAUGGUGGGGGAAGAUGGCAGGCUGGGGAUCGCACACCUGUUCUUUUACUGCCUCUCCGUCUGGUGGAGGGAGGUGGAUCCCGAUGGAGUAGCGUCGUGGACGCAACGGAUAGACAUCGACCUCAAGACUGAUCUUUUUCCCCUUGGCAAUUUUUCGAUACCACCAGAGUUGGGUGGCUCUGUCGAGGGCACUGGCAUCAUUUUUGUAAUCUCAAAAGUUGGCACCUACAUGAUUGAUCUCAAGUCACAAAGCUCGAAGAGGCUCUCGAGCAAGCUGUAUCAACAUCCAAAUGUUAGAUGGUCCCUCUUUCCCUAUGUUAGCUUCUACUAUCCACCAGCGGUGGCUGGUGUUGUGGCUGAAUCAUCAAGUGAAGCUGGACACGGCAACGAGGAAGCAUAA
rnacentral:rRNA from 1 species